rnacentral:misc_RNA from 1 species
GACACAUCUCGCCCCCCGCCGCCUUUUGGGGCGGUACGGAGGGCGGACUCUGCGUGUUCCGGAGCGCGAGCUCCGAGUGCACCGAACCUCGUGAACGCGAGACCUCUACUGCUGACUGCACAGAGUUGUUGACGGCGUGUCUGCUUCGGCGGCGCGACUCUCUACUCGCCACGUGCUUUGGUAAUUACGUAUUGGUCGUAGUUCCGGUUGCGCGCCUUCUCGGCGCACUACCCCAACUUUCG